AGCAUAUCAAUAAGCGGAGGAAAAGAAACCAACAGGGAUUGCCUUAGUAACGGCGAGUGAAGCGGCAAAAGCUCAAAUUUGAAAUCUGGUACUUUCAGUGCCCGAGUUGUAAUUUGGAGAAGGCAACUUUGGGGCUGGUCCUUGUCUAUGUUCCUUGGAACAGGACGUCAUAGAGGGUGAGAAUCCCGUGUGGCGAGGAACCCAGUCCUUUGUAAAGUGCUUUCGAAGAGUCGAGUUGUUUGGGAAUGCAGCUCAAAGUGGGUGGUAAAUUCCAUCUAAAGCUAAAUAUUGGCGAGAGACCGAUAGCGAACAAGUACAGUGAUGGAAAGAUGAAAAGAACUUUGAAAAGAGAGUGAAAAAGUACGUGAAAUUGUUGAAAGGGAAGGGCAUUUGAUCAGACAUGGUGUUUUGCGCCCCUUACCUCUCGUGGGUGAGGGAAUCUCGCAGCUCACUGGGCCAACAUCAGUUUUGGUGGCAGGAUAAAUCUAUAGGAAUGUAGCUUGCUUCGGGAAGUAUUAUAGCCUGUGGAAAUACUGCCAACUGGGACUGAGGACUGCGACUUUGUCAAGGAUGUUGGCAUAAUGGUUAUAUGCCGCCCGUCUUGAAACACGGACCAAGGAGUCUAACGUCUAUGCGAGUGUUUGGGUGUAAAACCCGUACGCGUAAUGAAAGUGAACGUAGGUUGGGGCCUCGCAAGAGGUGCACAAUCGACCGAUCCUGAUGUUUUCAGAUGGAUUUGAGUAAGAGCAUAGCUGUUGGGACCCGAAAGAUGGUGAACUAUGCCUGAAUAGGGUGAAGCCAGAGGAAACUCUGGUGGAGGCUCGUAGCGGUUCUGACGUGCAAAUCGAUCGUCGAAUUUGGGUAUAGGGGCGAAAGACUAAUCGAACCAUCUAGUAGCUGGUUCCUGCCGA
rnacentral:rRNA from 1 species